UACGUAGGGUGCAAGCGUUGUCCGGAAUUAUUGGGCGUAAAGAGCUUGUAGGCGGUUUGUCGCGUCUGCUGUGAAAUUUCGGGGCUCAACCCCGAACUUGCAGUGGGUACGGGCAGACUAGAGUGUGGUAGGGGAGACUGGAAGUUCCUGGUGUAGCGGUGAAAUGCGCAGAUAUCAGGAGGAACACCGAUGGCGAAGGCAGGUCUCUGGGCCAUAACUGACGCUGACGAAGCGAAAGCAUGGGGAGCGAACAGG
rnacentral:rRNA from 1 species